ACUCCUACGGGAGGCAGCAGUAGGGAAUUUUGCACAAUGGGCGAAAGCCUGAUGCAGCGACGCCGCGUGGGGGAUGAAGGCCCUAGGGUCGUAAACCCCUUUCGCUGGGGACGAAAAUGACGGUACCCAGAUAAGAAGCCCCGGCCAACUACGUGCCAGCAGCCGCGGUAAGACGUAGGGGCAAGCGUUGUCCGGAAUUAUUGGGCGUAAAGAGCUCGUAGGCGGUUGCGUAAGUCGGAUGUGAAAACUCGAGGCUCAACCUCGAGACGCCAUCCGAUACUGCGCUGACUAGAAUCCGGUAGAGGAGUGUGGAAUUCCUGGUGUAGCGGUGAAAUGCGCAGAUAUCAGGAGGAACACCAAUGGCGAAGGCAGCACUCUGGGCCGGUAUUGACGCUGAGGAGCGAAAGCGUGGGUAGCAAACAGGAUUAGAUACCCUGGUAGGCUCUGCU
rnacentral:rRNA from 1 species